UACGUAGGUGACAAGCGUUGUCCGGAAUUACUGGGCGUAAAGCGUGCGCAGGCGGCGCGUUAAGACAGGUGUGAAAGCCCCGAGCUUAACUUGGGAAUUGCGCUUGUGACUGGCGUGCUGGAGUGUGGCAGAGGGAGGUGGAAUUCCACGUGUAGCAGUGAAAUGCGUAGAGAUGUGGAGGAACACCGAUGGCGAAGGCAGCCUCCUGGGCCAGCACUGACGCUCAUGCACGAAAGCGUGGGGAGCAAACAGG
rnacentral:rRNA from 1 species